rnacentral:tRNA from 1 species
AGCUCAGUGAUAGAGCGCAUGCUUAGCACGCACGAGGUCCUGGGUUCAAUCCCCAG